AGUCAACCAUCCAGCUGUUUGA
rnacentral:miRNA from 1 species